GCCACCAUGGCGGAACUGGCAGACGCACACGACUCAAAAUCGUGCGGGAAACCAUGUGGGUUCGAUUCCCACUGGUGGCACCA
rnacentral:tRNA from 1 species